CCUACGGGGUGCAGCAGUGAGGAAUAUUGGUCAAUGGCCGGAAGGCUGAACCAGCCAUGCCGCGUGAAGGUCAGUGCCCUAUGGGCGUUAAACUUCUUUUGUGCGGGAGCAAUAAUGGUCACGUGUGGCCAGACGAGAGUACCGUACGAAUAAGCAUCGGCUAACUCCGUGCCAGCAGCCGCGGUAAUACGGGGGAUGCAAGCGUUAUCCGGCUUUAUUGGGGUUAAAGGGUGCGUAGGCUGUGAGGUAAGUCAGCGGUGAAAUGCCCCCGCUCAACGGGGUGAAGUGCCAUUGAUACUGCCUUGCUGGAAUGCGGAUGCCGUGGGAGGAAUGUGUGGUGUAGCGGUGAAAUGCAUAGAUAUCACACAGAACACCGAUUGCGAAGGCAUCUCACGAAUCCGCGAUUGACGCUGAUGCACGAAAGCGUGGGUAUCAAACAGGAUUAGAUACCCCUGUAGUC
rnacentral:rRNA from 1 species